UACAGAGGGUGCAGGCGUUGUCCGGAUUUAUUGGGCGUAAAGAGCGUGUAGGCGGCCUGGUAGGUCAGCUGUGAAAACUCGAGGCUCAACCUCGAGACGCCGGUUGAAACCAUCAGGCUAGAGUCCGGAAGAGGAGAGUGGAAUUCCAGGUGUAGCGGUGAAAUGCGCAGAUAUCUGGAAGAACACCCGUGGCUAAGGCGGCUCUCUAGUACGGUACUGACGCUGAGACGCGAAAGCGUGGGGAGCGAACAGG
rnacentral:rRNA from 1 species